GUGGGGAAUAUUGGACAAUGGGGGGAACCCUGAUCCAGCCAUGCCGCGUGUGUGAAGAAGGCCUUUUGGUUGUAAAGCACUUUAAGUUGGGAGGAAGGGCAGUAAGUUAAUACCUUGCUGUUUUGACGUUACCGACAGAAUAAGCACCGGCUAACUUCGUGCCAGCAGCCGCGGUAAUACGAAGGGUGCAAGCGUUAAUCGGAAUUACUGGGCGUAAAGCGCGCGUAGGUGGUUUUGUAAGUUGGAGGUGAAAUCCCCGGGCUCAACCUGGGAACUGCCUCCAAAACUGCAUGACUAGAGUACGGUAGAGGGUAGUGGAAUUUCCUGUGUAGCGGUGAAAUGCGUAGAUAUAGGAAGGGACACCAGUGGCGAAGGCGACUACCUGGACUGAUACUGACACUGAGGUGCGAAAGCGUGGGGAGCAAACAGGAUUAGAUACCCCUGUAGUCC
rnacentral:rRNA from 1 species